AUGGUUGUUUACUAUGUUGCUUGCUUCUUUCCGGGUUGCUUCUCUCGUUACCUUCGGUUUCAUUCCGGAGUUGUGAGGAUUCGUUCGACUACGUCCGUUUGUCUUCUUCAUGGACUCGUUCUUCUUCCUAGCGGGAUUUCAGAGCCGGGAGACGAGUUCGCUAACGAGGAGCCCGUUGAGUUUUCUUUCAAGGAUCCAGUCAACUCUGACAACUGUGCAGAUGCAGGGCCUGAUGAUUUCGCUCCAGGAGACGCGUUUGAGCUCAAGUGGGAGUUUGACGAGGACUCUCAAUAUUACUAUGUUUCCUUUCCUGAUGAUCAGUAG
rnacentral:rRNA from 1 species